rnacentral:rRNA from 1 species
GGGGAUCCUGCCGGAGGCCACUGCUAUCGGAGCUCGAUUAANCCAUGCGAGUCGAGAGGUGCAAGACCUCGGCAUACUGCUCAGUAACACGUGGACAACCUAACCUAAGGUGGGGGAUAACCCCGGGAAACUGGGGAUAAUACCCCAUAGGCUAUGAAUGCUGGAAUGCUUCGUAGUUGAAAGGUCAGCCGCCAUAGGAUGGGUCUGCGGCCGAUUAGGUAGUUGUUGGGGUAACGGCCCAACAAGCCUGUAAUCGGUACGGGUUGUGGGAGCAAGAGCCCGGAGAUGGAUUCUGAGACACGAAUCCAGGCCCUACGGGGCGCAGCAGGCGCGAAAACUUUACAAUGCGGGAAACCGUGAUAAGGGAACUCCGAGUGCCCGUUAAAUCGGGCUGUCCAUCAGUUUAAAAAACUGGUGAAGAAAGGGCCGGGCAAGACCGGUGCCAGCCACCGCGGUAAUACCGGCGGCUCGAGUGGUGGCCACUAUUACUGGGCUUAAAGCGUUCGUAGCUGGUUUGUUAAGUCUCUGGGGAAAUCUUCCGGCUUAACCGGAAGGCGUCUCAGGGAUACUGGCAGACUAGGGACCGGAAGAGGUGAGGGGUACUCCAGGGGUAGGAGUGAAAUCCUGUAAUCCUUGGGGGACCACCUGUGGCGAAGGCGCCUCACCAGGACGGCUCCGACAGUGAGGGACGAAAGCUGGGGGAGCAAACCGGAUUAGAUACCCGGGUAGUCCCAGCCGUAAACGAUGUGCGUUAGGUGUAUCGGUGACCACGAGUCACCGAGGUGCCGAAGAGAAAUCGUGAAACGUACCGCCUGGGAAGUACGGUCGCAAGGCUGAAACUUAAAGGAAUUGGCGGGGGAGCACCACAACG